CUGGAGCCCAACAUUUCUCAAGUCUCGGUGAAGGUUCGAUGAUGAAGCUUCUUCGUUCAAGUUCAAAUCCAUGGCGUGGAUAUGCCAUUUCCAGGGUUUCUGGUGCACUAUUCUACUCCACUGAGGUGCUGCCCUCCUCCUCAUCACCCCCAUUUGAGCUUCUGCCCAGUAGGAUUUGGCAGAUUGGAAACCCUAGGGAUUCCAUUCUGCCAGUGCUCCAUCAAUGGCGGGUAGAAGGGGAAGACAUGAAGCAGCCCGAGCUCCAAGGUUUCAUCAAGCGGCUCCGAAGGUGUCGUCGAUACGGCCAUGCUCUGCAGAUUUCAGAGUGGAUGAGCGAUGAAAUGAAGCAUGAUCUGCAUCCUGGAGACAUUGCGGUGCGGUUAAAUUUGACCUCAAAAGUCCAUGGGCUUGAAGAAGCCGAGAGGUAUUUUGAUAGCAUCCCAGAGUCAUUAAAAGUGGUUCCUGUGUAUGGUGCUCUGCUGUAUUGCUAUGCAAAGCAUAAUUGUUUGGAAAAGGCUGAGAGUGUUUUUGAAAAGAUGAAGGAGUUGGGUUUUGUGAAAGGAUCAUCGUGUUAUAAUACAAUGUUAAACCUUUAUUCUCAAAUGGGUAAACAUGGAAAGGUAGAUAUUUUAGUUAAAGAGAUGGCAGAGAAAGGCAUUGAUUAUAACAUGAACACAUUGAACAUUCGGUUAUAUUCGUAUGCAGCCACUUUGGAUGUAGACCGAAUGGAGAAGCUUUUGAUGAAGAUGGAAACUGAUCCUCUGGUCACUUUGGACUGGCAUGGUUAUGCUGCCGCAGCGGAUGCGUUCUUGAAAGCUGGACAAUUGGAGAAGACAGCGGCAUUGCUGAGGAAAUCGGAACAACUCAUUAACAGUAAAACAAGGAAAAUUGGUUAUGAACACCUGAUGACUUCAUAUGCUGCUAUUGGUAGUAAACACGAGGUUUAUCGAAUUUGGGAAUUGUACAAGAACAUGGUAGGGUUCUACAAUAACGGGUAUCGGUGUAUGUUAAGUUCAUUGUUGAAGAUGGAUGACAUUGAUGGUGCUGAGAAGAUUGUGGAGGAAUGGGAAUCUGGGAACAAAUUCUUUAACAUUCGAAUACCCUACUUGUUGAUCAAUGCUUACUGCAGGAAAGGUCUUUUGGAGAAGGCCAAAUCAUAUGUGAAGAAGCUUUCAGAGGGUGGAAAGGAGUGUUGUCGCAUAUGGGCUCUUUUGGCUACCACAUAUCAUAUGAAUGAUCGGAUGGAAGAGGCAGUGGAAACAUUGAAAAUGGCAGCAAGUUCGGCAUCUCGACCAGGAUGGAAGUUUGAUAAUUCAACUUUGGCUGCUUGCUUUGAGUACUUAAAAGAGAAGGGAGAUGUUGAAGAAGCACAUGAAUUGCUGAUAUUAUUCAGAGAAAGGGGUCAUUUUACAACAUAUUUGUGUGAUAAAAUUAGAAAUUAUAUUGAUAGUUGUGCACCCCAGGUUCUGGAGUUAGGUGAAACGGGAAAUCAUAUGGGUAGCACCCAAAUAUUUAAGAGUUUUAUCAUCUGUGGAAACCUGCUUCAGAGGUCCUGCGUGACCGUCAUCCUAAAGUUCCUAGGGCUAGGUUCUUUUGAUCUGGAUAUAGGUUUGAUGAUGAAGCUUCUUGCCUCAAAUCCAUGGCGUGGCCAUGCCAUUUCUAGGGUUUUAGGCGCACUAUUGUACUCAACCGAGGCCCUGGCCUCCUCCACCAUCUCCUCCUCACCCCCAUUUCAGUCCCUGUACCGUAGGAUUUUGUCGGUUGGAAAUCGAAAUCCUAGGGUUUCCGUUGUGCCGAUGCUCGCUCAGUGGGUCAAAGAAGGGAGAUAAUUGAAGCAACCAGAGAUCAAAGAUUUCAUCAAGCAGCUCCGUAAAUCCCGUCGCCAUAGCCAAGCACUCGAGGUUUCAGAAUGGAUGAGUGAUGUGAUGAAGCACGAUCUGUCUCCUGGAGAUAUUGCUGUUCGGCUAGAUUUGAUCUCCAAAGUCCGUGGUCUGCAACAAGCUGAGAGCUAUUUCGAUAGCAUCCCAUACCCAUUUAGAGUUGUUCAAGUGUAUGGUUCUCUCUUAUACUGCUAUACACGUUGUAAAUCUGUGGAGAAUGCUGAGAUUACUUUCGGAAAGAUGAAAGAGUUGGGUUUUGCGAAUGGAUUUCGGGAUUAUAAUGUAAUGUUAUCCCUCUAUUUUCGAACGGGUGAAUAUGAAAAACUACACGUUCUAGUCGAAGAGAUGGAAGAAAAAAACAUUGGUUAUGACAUUCACACAUUGAAACUCAGAAUGUUUUCGUAUGCAGCCACUGGUGACAUAGACCAAAUGGAAAAACUUUUGGUGAAGAUGGAAGCUGAUCCUCUGGUCACCAUGGACUGGCAUGGUUAUUUUGUUGCAGUGAAAGCGUGCUCGAAGGCAGGACUGUUGGAGAAGACAUCGACAUUGCUGAGGAGAUCGGAGCAACUGAUUGACAAGGACACAAGGAAAAUUGGUUAUGAACACCUGAUGACUUCAUAUGCUGCUAUUGGUAAUAAAGAUGAGGUUUAUCGGAUUUGGGAUUUGCACAAAAACACCGUAGGAUUCUACAAUAAUGGGUAUCGAUGUAUGGUGAGUUCGUUGAUGAAGCUAGGUGACAUUGACGGUGCUGAGAAGAUUGUGCAGGAAUGGGAAUCUGGGGUAAAAUGCUAUGACAUUAGAAUACCCAACUUGCUGGUCACUGCUUACUGCAGGCAAGGUCUGUUUGAGAAGGCCAAAUCAUAUGUAGAGAAGCUUAUGGAGAGUGGAAAGGGGAAUGCAAGCACAUUUCUUGUUUUGGCUACGGAAUAUCAUAUGAAUGGUCACAUGGGAGAGGCAGUGGAAGCAAUGAAAAACGCAGCAAAAAUGUCAAGUCGACCAGGAUGGAAGUUUAACCAUUCAACUUUGUAUGCAUGUCUUAAGUACUUGAAAGAGAAGAGAGAUAUGAAAUCAGCACUUGAGAUUUUGAGAUUAGUGGGAAAAAAGGGUUAUUUACCAAAAGGUUCGUGGGAUAAGUUGGAAAAUUAUGUUGAUGGUGGCCAACCCCAGGUUUGAAGUCCUUGAUAAGGUGAAAGGGGAAAUCAUAUGGUAGGGAUCAAUAAAGUUCAGGAUGAAGGGAGGGACGCAUCUAAAAGUGGAGCUUAACAAUGCGGGUAGGCUGGUAGCAGCUCAAAAGCUAUGUAAAUGUAUGAAAGGUAUUUUGUUCUAUCUGAACGCUUCAGAUGACUUGGUAGCUACUAGUUAUGCUUCAGUAAAUACAUGGUUAGAAAAAUGGAAACAGAGGGCUUCCAGCUUAAUCUAGAUUUUGUCAAUCAAGCAUUUACAUGUGAUUUGGUUUUGGGGAAAGGUGCUAUACAUCCCAGACAAAGCCAUUGUUUGAAACAUUGUGGUGUUGUUAGUAACUAUGUAUCUGACAUGCCUGUGAACUCUCUCAGAUGGGAAUGUUCCACUAUAAUAUCUGUCUUAUUUGCAACAA